UCUGAGGAGAACCGUUUAAGGUUCCUUCAUUGGGAUCUACACAAGCAUACUCGAAGAAAAGCAACAAAUAUUCUGUUACUUCUAGGCAAAGUGGCUGCAUCUGCUUUGACACUGACAGGUUUCUUUUACUGUCAAGUAACACCUGCCUUGAGAACUGAAGGAUGUACAAUUUGGCCUUCCUUUGUAAAUACUGAGAAUGGCCACCUAUCUCCCCAGAACACAGGCAGCAAUGAUUAUGAGGAUGCCAAUGAUGUAGAGAGGAAAUUUAACGGAGGUAAUGAUGUUGCUAAUGGAAAUCAUUCUAUCAAGCCUCCAAUGUUCCAGCAAGGUGUGCUCCGGACCAAUUGCAUA
rnacentral:misc_RNA from 1 species